CUAGGCAUCAGCUGGGUCAACAGGCCCGCCCGUUUCCCCUUUUUCUGUUUUCGGGCACAAUGUUUCCUUUUGACCGUUGGUCCUCGCACCCUGCUGUGCCAAAACGUCAAAACCACU